AACGAACGCUGGCGGCAUGCCUAACACAUGCAAGUCGAACGAGACCUUCGGGUCUAGUGGCGCACGGGUGCGUAACGCGUGGGAACCUGCCCUUAGGUUCGGAAUACCUCCCCGAAAGGGGUGCUAAUACCGGUUAAUGUCUUCGGACCAAAGAUUUAUCGCCUUUGGAUGGGCCCGCGUUGGAUUAGCUGGUUGGUAGGGUAAAAGCCUAGCAAGGCGACGAUCCAUAGCUGGUCUGUGAGGAUGAUCAGCCACACUGGGACUGAGACACGGCCCAGAACGCUACGGGAGGCAGCAGUGGGGAAUAUUGGACAAUGGGCGAAAGCCUGAUCCAGCAAUGCCGCGUGAGUGAUGAAGGCCUUAGGGUUGUAAAGCUGUUUUACCCGGGAUGAUAAUGACAGUACCGGGAGAAUAAGCUCCGGCUAACUACGUG
rnacentral:rRNA from 1 species